CGGUAAUACGGAGGGUGCAAGCGUUAAUCGGAAUUACUGGGCGUAAAGCGCACGCAGGCGGUCUGUCAAGUCGGAUGUGAAAUCCCCGGGCUCAACCUGGGAACUGCAUUCGAAACUGGCAGGCURGAGUCUUGUAGAGGGGGGUAGAAUUCCAGGUGUAGCGGUGAAAUGCGUAGAGAUCUGGAGGAAUACCGGUGGCGAAGGCGGCCCCCUGGACAAAGACUGACGCUCAGGUGCGAAAGCGUGGGGAGCAAACAGGAUUA
rnacentral:rRNA from 1 species